GUAGGUGGCAAGCGUUGUCCGGAAUUAUUGGGCGUAAAGCGCGCGCAGGCGGUUCUUUAAGUCUGAUGUGAAAGCCCACGGGCUCAACCGUGGAGGGUCAUUGGAAACUGGAGAACUUGAGUACAGAAGAGGAAAGCGGAAUUCCACGUGUAGCGGUGAAAUGCGUAGAGAUGUGGAGGAACACCAGUGGCGAAGGCGGCUUUCUGGUCUGUAACUGACGCUGAGGCGCGAAAGCGGUGGGGAGCAAACAGGAUUAGAUACCCUGGUAGUCCACGACCGUAAACGAUGAGUGCUAAGUGUAGGGGGUUUCCGCCCCUUAGUGCUGCAGCUAACGCAUUAAGCACUCCGCCUGGGGAGUACGGCCGCAAAGGCUG
rnacentral:rRNA from 1 species